GUACAUAGGAGUCCUCUUCGUCGGAGGAUGGAGGUGGUUGGGGUGCGGGCUGUAGUCGUGGUCUUACUCCGUUUGGUGGGUGAUUUGCCCCUAGUCUUAGUGGAAGGGGGGGCUCAAAACCUUUCGCUGUCGUUUUAUUUUGGACAUCUCUGAGCCCAAAGCCUCCAUCCGUUCUGGGGGACUCAUGUCGCCCUGACUUUGGGGUAGAGCUUUCAAGAGGGCUUUUUCUACAGAUGCCGUCACUGCAGCAUUAAUCAUAGCCUGAAAGUCCUGACUAUUUUGGGUGUCUUCCAUGACUUGUGUGUUUUUCUCGUCCUGUUGGGCGAUAAUGAAAGUCAGUGGAAGCAGUGGAGAAGAGUCAGUACAUGUAGUGACAGACUCCUGGUACAACUGGGGGGCCGCCCGGUUGGUAAAAUUGUGUUUAGAGGCGUAUUGUAUACGGGCUGUUGCCUAAUACAGAGGCCGCCUGAUAUGAGCUCAGUGGUGGUGUAUAGUUAGGGUUCGCCACAGUUGUACACCAGAGCUGUAUGCACGUUGGGUAGUAAUCAGGGUUAAAUGCCAGUUGAGGGUAGGUCCUCGUGCAUAUACUCGGGGUUCACCCCGGGUGGUGUGCCGUGGUAACCAGAGGACACCCACAUAAGAUAAUGGUCAGUGACCUUGCAUGCAUAUCUGGGGGGUCACCCCAGGUGGUGUGCCAUGAAAAAUACCCAGAGGACACCCACAUCAAUUUGCACCGUCAGGAACAGUGAUAUAAUGCAACCCUUGAUGGGUGCUGCAACAUAAU